rnacentral:lncRNA from 1 species
CGGGGGAAUUGGCUCUCCAGAAAGAAUGCAAAUGUGACAUUAUGGGUAGAAUAAUCUUCCGCGGUCUGGACAAAUGUUAACACUUCGUGAGAGUGAGCCGACUUCGGAGACGGACACGGUCCUUUCAACACUUUCGAUCACUGACCAUGAUCAUGACCCACCCACACCCGUGCACCUCCUCAACUGCGGAUGCCUGGUCGUGUCCCAUCAAACCGUCCAACCAGAAGCCCUUCAUGAGACGUCCCAACUUCCUGCUCCAUUCCUCAUCGCCAGCACCAGUGUCUUGGCUGCGACGGAGGUAAGCACCUAAUUCAUAGGACAGCUUCCAAGGUGUUCUACUACCCUGCCUGGGCCUAAACGCAAUUCUAUCCCUCCUGCUUACAAUUAAUUAGAU